UCAGUGUGUCAGACACGAGGCCAGGGC
rnacentral:piRNA from 1 species